AAGUCGUAACAAGGUUUCCGUAGGUGAACCUGCGGAAGGAUCAUUAUUGAAUUCAAAACUUGGCUGGGUUGCUGCUGGCUCUCAGGGGCAUGUGCACACUCAUGUCAUCUUUUAACCACCUGUGCACAAAUUGUAGACCUGAAUAAAACUUUCGAGGAAACUCGGUUUGAGAAUUGCUAACAAGCUGUUCUUGUAUUCAGGUUUAUGUAUAUUAUUAUAUACUCUAUUAUAAGUCAUUGAAUGUUAAUAAUGGGCCCUUUGUGCCUUUAAACCUAAUACAACUUUCAACAACGGAUCUCUUGGCUCUC
rnacentral:misc_RNA from 1 species